rnacentral:lncRNA from 1 species
AUGUCCAUUUCAUGGGUGCCAUCUGCUGGGCUCCAGUCGUCGCGAUUCCAUCGGAUGCUGUUCACUUACGUCCUGAGGAGCAGGGCCGGCUCCAGGCACCAGCGGACAAGCAGGUGCCUGGGGCGGCCAAUGAAGAGGGGGACGGCACGUCCCGCCGUUCGGUGGCAAUUUGGUGGCAGGGCCGUCACUCCCUGUGGGAGCGAAGGACUUGCCGCUGCUCCCACAAUCGGCGGUAGAGCUGCCGCCGAUCGUGGCUUGUGUGCGUGUGCGUGUGUCUGUGCGUGUGUCUGUGCGUGUGUCUGUGCGUGUGUGUGUGUGCGUGUGCGUGUGUGUGUGCGUGUGUGUGUGCGUGUGCGUGUGUGUGUGCGUGUGUGUGUGUGUGUGCGUGUGUGUGUGUGUGCGUGCGCAUGCUUGGGGUGGCAAAAACGCUAGAGCCGGCCCUGCUGAGGAGGAAGUUGCUCCUGCAACUUGAACGAUCGAUACAGCUUUAACUGAUCAGCAUGGUAGAUUCUGUCUUUAUUACGCUUGCCUCCUGUUAUUCUAAUCUUAUACCCGGCUGAACUGAGUUUAGGGAUGAUUCAGAAAGGUCCGGUCCAUCGUUACACAACCCUUGUUCUGGUGAUUUAUACGAUAACAACAUUACUUGGUCUCCAAGCACCCAAGCAGUCUCUCUCUGGUUUUUGUCAAAGUAAGCCUUGGCCUUGCGUCUGGAUUUUCCCAAUUUGGCAGCUACCUGCAAGUGGAGCUGAUGUAAAGGUUUGGGCAGAUUCUGCGGGUAGGUAUCCAUCUCUAUUCCCUCUAAUUGAGCGCCACUGGUGCCAAUUAAAUGUUCUGGGAAUCGCAUCGUUCCGCCUGUCACCACUUCAAAGGGUGUUUUAUCAGUAGAUGCAGCCGAUGUCGCUCUCAAUGCCAUUAAAAUGACAGGCACGAGAGUGUCCCAGUUACGUCCAUUGGCAACAACCGGAUUCCUCAACAUCACUUUUAUAGUUCGUUCCCCCAGCCCAGAUGACUGUGGUCUGUAUGGGUUGUGGAGUCUCUGCGGGACUCCCAUUAAUUUAAGACAGUCCCUAAAGAAGUGUCCCAUGAUCCCUGGUCUGACUCUACCUUUGCAGGGAUCCCCCAGCGAGAGAAGACUUGCUCUACUAGGACCUUGGCAGUGGCUUUUGCAGUAUUGCCUUUAAGAGGAAAUGCCUCUCCCCACUUUGAAAAAGCAUCGAUAACCACUCAGAGGUAUUGGUUACCUCUGUGAGGAUCUACAAAGUCAAUCUGCAAAGCCAUCCAAGGACCUUCAUACACCUGAGAUUUUAAUGGCGCAUUUCUUUGUACAAAGGAUCUAUUGUUAGCGACCCUUCCCUUUCUGUUUUGGAAAGCUCUCGGAUUACUUUCACUAUGGUAUUAUCUUCACAUUAGUUUUAAACCCGGUACGAGGUUU